rnacentral:lncRNA from 1 species
UGAGAAAAUUAUACAAAUUCACAGAAAUAUCGGGGAAAGGACUACAAAAAAGUAAUAGAAAAUAAUGAGACCGGACCAACAACAAUGACGACCAAGGCAAUGAAUGGGAAAAGCUAUAGGGAACAAGAUGAUGCAAAGGUAAACAAGGAUGAAAAUAAGAAUGUAAAAGCUAGAUUGCAGAAAAAAGGAGAGAUAAAAAUGGGAACAUGGAAUGUGAGAAGCAGCAAUGGAAAAAAGGAAGAACUGGUAGAAGAAAUGAUAAAACAAAAAAUAGAAAUACUAGGAAUAACGGAAACGUAGAUGAAAGGAAAAGGUCUUAAGAAAAUGCACAAAGGAUAUUGGUUACUUUGGGUAGGAGCGGAUACAAAAGAGAGAGCAAAA